GACGAUUGACCUGAAGUGAGGUAAGAGGACCGGCCGAAUUUAAGCAUAUUAAUAAGCCGAGGAAAAGAAACUAACUAGGAUUCCCUUAGUAUCGGCGAGUGAAGCGGGAAAAGCUCAAGUUGAGAAGCCUUGUUACUUGUGACAAGGCGUUGUAAACUGAUGAGCUUGGCCAGCAUGGACCUGGGGGCAAGUCGCUUUGGAAUUGCGCGUCGUAGAGGGUGAGAACCCCGUACACACCCCAGAGUUCCGUGCGGACGGUCGAGUUU
rnacentral:rRNA from 1 species